AGAGUCAAGCCUGAUACAGGGUGAGCAAACAGCUCUGCAUCCAGAAGUGAGUCAUCAUUGGUCUCCGGCUGAUUUUAUCAUCCUCUCUGCUACGAGAGCUGUUUCUCUCACCUGAUUCAGGCAAAACAAGCUGCAGGUGUAAAACCCAAUGGUUCAAGCACUCCCAGGUUUUUAUGAUGAGGUGGUGAAGAAGCCUUCAGAUGACCUGUUCUACUGGCAGGUCAGAGGGGCUGGAGCUUUUGACUAGUAGUGAUAAGCAGCUAGGGAUAGGUUGAGGGGCAGUGGUGUCUUCCAAGACCCCUAAACAGAAUAUAUUCAGACCUGCAGUGCAAAUUCCUCCUAUAUUAUUCUUUGUAACUUUUUCCACCAAAAUAGAAUUUAAUCUCUACACAAGAGGCAGAAGCUUAUAAAGAUCCUCCCUCAAUAAGCACAGACAAGGUUCCAGCUGCUGUGACUGGGAAGGAAAACCUCAAAAAUGAGAAAUUAGGAACUGCCUGCCUCAAGGUUGGAGGUGUGGCUGGGUCCUCCUUCUUGCACAGUUACUCUGAAUGAAAUCCUUUAGGAGACAUUCCAGGAGAAAUGAAGAUGUUUCAAUCAAACCGAAAAGCAAAUGCAAAGAACAUUUUGAGCAGAGUGGAGUUGUGUAGAAACAAUUAUUUUCCUUCGUACAUGUAUCUCGGAAAAACUGAUGUACGCUCUUCUCCAUUCAGGGAUUAAGUUUUGAAGCACUAUUUUGAAGUUGCAUGUUGUUAGGGGGUUUUGUUUGUUUGGGGUUUUGUUAUGUUUUAUUUUGUUGUUGUUUUUUUUUAAUGGGGAAGAUGUAUUCCUCACAGAAAAUUUUCAGAGGAGCAAUCAAUAUACAAAAUGAAUUAUCUGUUGUUGGAUCUGAACUGCAUAUCUGUACACAGGGUGUUUUUGUACUCUAGGGUACUCUGAAAGCAUCGUGGCUGAAUCAUAAUAAACAAUGGAUUCCCUUAUCAAAAAAACACACAUACCCACAAAUAUUUCACUCCAUUUUCAAUGUCUUUGACAACAUAACAUUUAAAUACCUGAAGCAAUUUAUAAAGUAUUUAUAAUACAGAAUC